rnacentral:lncRNA from 1 species
UUCUAUUUGUCUGCAGCAGUUUCAUUAUGAAGAAUUGAUUAUCCUCGAAUUCCUGGUUGGCACAGCCUGGUUGGCACACAGACGCUUGGAGGACUGGUGUGCAACCCCACAACCGAUUUAAAUAUAAGGGACUUGAAUUUUCAGUCAUGAGCUGACCUUCAUUUUGGGAGGGACAAAGUGAUCUAAGGUCCAGUUUGCUGAGUUAAGAUACCCAAGUGAAAGUGAACACAGAAAUAAAGGACAAGCUAGAUCCUGAGAGAAAGAUAACAAGGAUCCAUUAUGAGUGCAAGGGCAUGAGAAAGAAGAGGGGAGUUUCUCCUACAUCUCCAGAGCAGACUAAAGAAGAAGUUAAUUUGGCCUGGGGCUGAAAAAACAUGGCAUCAUAAAAGAGAUGAGGUUGGAUGGAUUGUCAGAUAUGGAGAAAAAGAACAGCGAUGACUCACCCACCCUUCCUUCGCCCGUGUCAUAAUCACCACGUGCAGGUCGCCAUACUGAAUAAUGAGUGCGAAUCGCAGAUGUCUGUCAAUCAGGUCACUGAAAUAUUCAAAUGGUGACUGAGUUGUCAAAUUCAUCAAAGAAAUUGUACGUUGACUGUGGCCACAGCUUUAUUGGUAAGCAAUUGCAUGUGUGCUUAUUCUUUUUGAAAUUAUGAAUAAGAUAGUCUAUAUCAUUUUAAAUUUUAAAAUAUUUUAGACUACCUAUAUGUCAGGGUUUUGCUAGGCUUUGGUAAUAAUAAAGUCAUAUAGUAUUCCAGUGCUAUACAUUCAGGAAUAGAUGAUUAUGCACAUAUAGUAUACACACUACAUGUACAACACAAACUGUUGCUUUGUGCAUUCACAACCCACACACUCACCACAGUAAUAAGCACAUGCACAUAGAUAUGCAAAUACACAUUAUGUAUCCCGCCACCAAGUAAAAGUAUCAUCCAGUUUAGGCUGGGGUUUCUCAUUGGCAAAACUAUUACCAUUUAGGAUAAAAUAACUUACUAGGACUGAGGAGAUAUCACCUCUUCAACUGUGACAACCAAAACUAUCUCUUGUCUGCAGAGACUUCCAAAAGUCCCAUGAGAACCAAGGACAAAAUUUCCUGCAGCUUAAACUACUGGAUUAGGAGAAAAUUUCUAAAUGUAAAUCGCUAACGAAGACAACGUGGUGCCAAGGAAAUCAUGGGAAAUUCAUAGCAUUCAGCAGCUGAUACAACUAACUUGAAAUAAAGCGUUUUUUGGAGUAGAGAAUGGUAAAACCCAAAUUCGUAAGGGAAAUAGUUAAAAUACACAUUGUGUUCAGGGGCCAUGUAGCACUUGAUGUUUGGGAUACAGUUAAUAAAAAUGUAUAAGGAAUAAUGCAAGCCUUGGCACUAUAAAAAGCUAUCAAAUUGUUGAGAUCUUUAAAUAAAAGGUUUUUUUUUUGUUUCUCAUCCUGUAGAAAUGUUAUUUGAAUGUACAAAUGGAAUUAAUAAAACAUG